CAUAGGCUCUGCCUGUUUCCCAAUCCUGUUGAGUUUCUCUGUGGUGGCGCCGGAAUUUAUUCCGGAUUUGGUUCGGUUAUUAGAUUGUUUACAGUUUGAUCCGGCAUAGGCCAUGCUUGUUUUUAUAGCAAAAGUUGAUUUGUGUUUUGGUGUUUGUGCCCCUAAAGAUUUCCACCCUCGGUGAGAGAGGUUUGUGAGCACUGAGCUGACCAAUAAACAUUUUCUCAAAUUUUGUUGUGUCAUAUGCUUACAUUCUCAAUAAAAUAUGUUUAAAAUAAAAAAAAAAUUAAAAACAUAAUUUUCAGAACCCAACAUACACUUCAAAUGUAUGAAAUAUGAACAAAAAUAAACAAUGAAAAACAACAACAAAACUGCCUGACAGAACAUGGACGUCAAUUGAUUUUACGUUGUGAAUUUGUGGUUAUCAGACUUAUAAACUCUGCAUGUAUCUUUUUUCACUCGUAUUCAUAAACUAUCAUUUUGUUAUAAAUUCAUGAAAAAGUGUCACAUAAAUAUUUUGAAUAUG